UAUUCUCAGGGCGGGGCGAAAUUCCCCACCGGCGGUAAAUCUUACGCGUGUAUUGUACAGCUAAGAUCAGCCCGCGAGCGCUCGAUACGUCGAGGUCAGCAGAUCUGGUGAGAACCCAGAGCCGACGGUUACAGUCCGGAUGAGAGAGAAUG
rnacentral:ncRNA from 1 species